rnacentral:siRNA from 1 species
ACUUUGCAUUUAUCGUAUGCUUGA